AGGCACCAGAACAUCACAUUUAACAACAUUUUGAAGAUUGUUCCUCAAAUAAGGUGCAAGAAACUAAAGCUGAUUUACCUAACUCUGUAGAGACCAAAGGAAUUUACAGAGUUAGUCAUCCCUGAAACCGGGUGUGGUAACUAGUAUGACUGAAGUUUAGUAAUGAUGUUAGGAACAGUGGAACUUUUUGUAAAAGGGCUUCAUAAAUGAAAACAUAGCAAUGUAUCAACCUACGUGACAUCAAAGAGGGCCAACCAACUUUCUGGUAGAGAAUGCGUGAUAUACCAUCCAAGCUUUCACAGACUCCAAAACAAUCUUUACACAAUAUUCUCAGUUUAGGGAAGCCUGAUGAAGACAUUACAGGGGAGAAUAAAAUGGGGAGGUGAGUACGGACAAGAUGAACUCUAUCAAAGACAGUGAGAAGAUGGGCAUCUUCAAGCAGACAGAAGGUUGCUCAAGAAGUUCUGGACAACUGCUGGAGCCUGGGAGAUAUCUGGUGAUGUUGACGAUAGCUGCAGCCUACUUCCUACACUCUCUGAUCCAGCAGUAGUUUAUACUGUAGAUCUAGGUUUGCAUCCCAAAUGGCACCCUAUUCCCCAUAUAGUGCACUACUUCUGACCAGAGACUUUUAAAACAUUUUAUUUUUUAUUUCACCUUUAUUUAACCAGGUUUGCCAGUUGAGAACAAGUUCUCAUUUACAACUGCGACCUGGCCAAGUUAAAGCAAAGCAGUGCGACACAAACAACACGGAUUUACACAUGGAAUAAACAAAUGUACAGUCAAUAACACAAUAGAAAAAAUCUAUAUACAGUGUGUGCAAAUGAGGUAAGAUUAGGGAGGUAAGGCAAUAAAUAGGCCGUAGUGGCGAAGUCAUUACAAUUUAGCAAUUAAACACUGGAGUGAUAGAUGUGCAGAAUGAAUGUGCAAGUAGAGAUACUGGGGUGCAAAGGAGCCAAAAAAUAAAUAAAAAAAUAACAAUAUGGGGAUGAGGUAGUUGGAUGGGCUAUUUACAGAUGGCCUAUGUACAGGUGCAAUGAUCUGUGAGCUGCUCUGACAGCUGAUGCUUAAAGUUAGUGAGGAAGAUAUGAGUCUCCAGCUUCAGUGAUUUUUGCAACUCAUUCCAGUCAUUGGCAGCAGAGAACUGGAAGGAAAGGCGGCCAAAGAAGGAAUUGACAUUGGGGGUGACCAGUGAAAUAUACCUGCUGGAGCGCGUGCUAUGGGUGGGUGCUGCUAUGGUGACCAGUGAGUUGAGAUAAGGCGGGGUUUUACCUAGCAAAGACUUGGGCUUUGGUCAAAAGUAGUGCACUGUAUAGGGAAUAGGGUGCCAUUUGGGCAUUGCCCUAACCCUCACUCUGAAUCAACACUGGAACUGUCAAAUAUUCCUAUUUUCUAAACUGCAAUGAAGUCUAUAUUUUGAUGAUCGUUUUGUCAUUGAUCUGAAUGGUGUG
rnacentral:lncRNA from 1 species